rnacentral:rRNA from 1 species
UACGAAGGGGGCUAGCGUUGUUCGGAAUCACUGGGCGUAAAGCGCACGUAGGCGGAUCGUUAAGUCGGGGGUGAAAUCCCAGGGCUCAACCCUGGAACUGCCUUCGAUACUGGCGAUCUUCGAGUCCGGGAGAGGUGAGUGGAACUCCGAGUGUAGAGGUGAAAUUCGUAGAUAUUCGGAAGAACACCAGUGGCGAAGGCGGCCCGCUGGACAUGUAUUGACGCUGAGUGCGAAAGCGUGGGGAGCAAACAGG